UUUGUACUCACUCCGUCAGAAAAAGCUUGCCCCAAGCUUGUUCCUCAAAUGGAUGUAUCUAGCACCAAGUUAGUGCUAGAUACAUCCAUUUGAGGGACAAGCUUUUUCAGACGGAGUGAUACAAC
rfam:Triticum aestivum genome assembly, contig: Triticum_aestivum_CS42_TGACv1_scaffold_472224_6AL